ACGAACAGUUGGAAACGACUGCUAAUACCGCAUAAGCCCACGGCUCGGCAUCGAGCAGAGGGAAAAGGAGCAAUCCGCUUUGAGAUGGCCUCGCGUCCGAUUAGCUAGUUGGUGAGGUAACGGCCCACCAAGGCGACGAUCGGUAGCCGGACUGAGAGGUUGAACGGCCACAUUGGGACUGAGACACGGCCCAGACUCCUACGGGAGGCAGCAUG
rnacentral:rRNA from 1 species